GGAUUAGAUACCCUGGUAGUCCACGCUGUAAACGAUGAUCACUAGAUGUUCGGACUUCGGUCUGAGUGUCCAAGCGAAAGCGAUAAGUGAUCCACCUGGGGAGUACGUUCGCAAGAAUGAAACUCAAAGGAAUUGACGGGGGCCCGCACAAGCGGUGGGGCAUGUGGUUUAAUUCGAUGAUACGCGAGGAACCUUACCUGGGCUACAAUGCCUCUGACAGACGCCGAAAGGUGUUUUUCCUUCGGGACAGAGUGCAAGGUGCUGCAUGGUUGUCGUCAGCUCGUGCCG
rnacentral:rRNA from 1 species